AAAAAGAUAAGCUAAGUAAAAGCUAAUGGGCUCAUACCCCAUCCAUGUGAAUUUUCACUCUUUUUU
rnacentral:tRNA from 1 species